rnacentral:rRNA from 1 species
UACGUAGGGUGCAAGCGUUAAUCGGAAUUACUGGGCGUAAAGCGUGCGCAGGCGGUUAUGUAAGACAGGUGUGAAAUCCCAGGGCUUAACCUUGGAACUGCAUUUGUGACUGCAUAGCUAGAGUACGGUAGAGGGGGAUGGAAUUCCGCGUGUAGCAGUGAAAUGCGUAGAUAUGCGGAGGAACACCGAUGGCGAAGGCAAUCCCCUGGACCUGUACUGACGCUGAGGAGCGAAAGCGUGGGGAGCGAACAGG